ensembl:lncRNA
AUCUUUUUCUUUGUGCCCAUCUAGACAGUGACAGGCGUGCUGCGGUGUUCUUGCAACGCAAGUGAUAGUGGGGGUAGAGCAUGCUGAAAGAUGUGUUCUUUGCUGGAAUAAGCUUCUUCCUUAUCACAGCCAGUAAUAGCACUGUAUUAUUUUAGCUUUUGAAAGAGAUGAGCCUGUUUUUGCAAAAAGGCAGAUGCCCUCAGUUCCCAUUGACUUUGAGCACAGCUAGCAUUGCUCAGUGCCCUGCAGAAGAAAGGCUCUGGGGGAGUACUGCUAAGGGAGGCUGAGGGGCUCUGACAGUGCUAAUCCUUGUAAAUGUAGGGGUGCUACACUGCUUGCACAGAGUGUCACUACCGUAGUAGUGCCCCCCGUCCACGAUGGAAUCCGGUUCUUCCCCACAGCAGACAUUCCUCACACUGGUAUGGAGCACAGCUGGAGAGGAGAUAUCUUCUACAGAAUAAAGAGAAAUAGUUGCCCAGCUCUAACCCUGAGACCUGCACCAGUUGUGCCCUGUUGGCUGUAUCUCCGGAAAGCAAGGUUCUGAGGAGCAACCAGCUUGCUGUGCUUCCUGCAGUGACCCGCUGACAUGACUAGCCCUGCCUCAGAUACAGCAUCACCUCCUCUCUGCCUGUGCUGCUUGCCAGCCUGCAAUUCCCAAGACACCUCAUGUGAGCCCCAAGACUCACGUGCAGGCCUCCUUGUUCUGUAUCUACCAUUUCGAACUGCAGAUGCACGGUGUGCCUGGCUGCCUUCUUUUGCCUUCUUUCUUGCAUCCUCUGCACUGAACAGAGCAUUGCUUAGAGAAGGAAAAAAACUGUUUAGUUCCCUGCUUACAGCAGAACGCUGAACUGAUGUCUGGUGCUCCCUGCUGUGGACCUCUUUGCUCUGGGCUUCACAGGCAAAUAAGUCACCUUGAUGCCAAUAUUUGUCCCUGUUUCCUGAUGCAAUGAAUAAAUCACGCUGCUGUUCCUU